UACGAAGGGUGCAAGCGUUACUCGGAAUUACUGGGCGUAAAGGGCGCGUAGGCGGCCUUCUAAGUCGAACGUGAAAUCCCUGGGCUCAACCCAGGAACUGCGUCCGAUACUGGGAGGCUUGAAUCCGGGAGAGGGAUGCGGAAUUCCAGGUGUAGCGGUGAAAUGCGUAGAUAUCGAGAGGAACACCUGCGGCGAAGGCGGGUUGCUGGGCUGACACUGACGCUGAAGUGCGAAAGCUAGGGGAGCGAACGGG
rnacentral:rRNA from 1 species